GAGUUUGAUCAUGGCUCAGAUUGAACGCUGGCGGCAGGCCUAACACAUGCAAGUCGAGCGGUAACAUUUCAAAAGCUUGCUUUUGAAGAUGACGAGCGGCGGACGGGUGAGUAAUGCCUGGGAAUUUGCCCAUUUGUGGGGGAUAACAGUUGGAAACGACUGCUAAUACCGCAUGCGCCCUACGGGGGAAAGCAGGGGACCUUCGGGCCUUGCGCUGAUGGAUAAGCCCAGGUGGGAUUAGCUAGUAGGUGAGGUAAUGGCUCACCUAGGCAACGAUCCCUAGCUGGUCUGAGAGGAUGAUCAGCCACACUGGGACUGAGACACGGCCCAGACUCCUACGGGAGGCAGCAGUGGGGAAUAUUGCACAAUGGGGGAAACCCUGAUGCAGCCAUGCCGCGUGUGUGAAGAAGGCCUUCGGGUUGUAAAGCACUUUCAGCGAGGAGGAAAGGGUGUAAGUUAAUACCUUACAUCUGUGACGUUACUCGCAGAAGAAGCACCGGCUAACUCCGUGCCAGCAGCCGCGGUAA
rnacentral:rRNA from 1 species